rnacentral:lncRNA from 1 species
CCUAUCUCACUCUGUCACCCAGGCUGGAGUACAGUGAUGCAAUCAUAGCUCACUACAGCCUUGAAUUCCUGGGCUCAAGCAAUCUUCCCACCUCAGCCUCCCAAGUAGCUGGGACUACACAUGCACACCACCACAUCUGGCUAAUUUUUUAAAAAAAUUUUUGUAUAGAUGGAGUCUUAUUACAUUGCCCAGGCUGGUUUCAAACUCCUGGGCUCAAACCAUUGUUCCACCUCAGCCUACCAAAGUGUUGGGUUUAUAGGUGUGAGCCACUACACCUGGCCUGUAUUGUUUUCUUCUUCUUAUUAUUAUUUUUUUUGACACAGGGUCUCACUCUAUUACUCAGGCUGGAGUGCAAUGGCAGAUCUUGGCUCACAGCAGCCUCAACCACCCAGGCUCAAGCAAUCCUCCCAUCUCAGCCUCCCAGGUUACUGGGACUACAGGCCGUGCUGCUUGGUUAAUUAAAAUAAAUUUUUUGUAGAGAUGGGGUCUCACUAUAUUGCCCAGGUUGGAGCUCAAGGCAGAGGUUUCAGAAUAAUUCAUGAAACAGUUUUGCCAGAAGAGACAUUGCUAGAUGCUGCUAAGCAUCAUUCAGAAUCAACAGGUUAAAUGGCCAUUCGUCAAGGUUAACACUGCCCUGGGCCAGCUUCUGAGGGGUUAACACUUUGAAAACAUAAGAAAGAUGAUAAUAAAGUUAGUAUAUAUAUACACACUUGAAAAGUGUGUUAUCUUUCCAGACUGAAUCCUCAAGCACCAUCAUCUCAGAAAUCAAAUACUUUUAAGUUGGAAGGCAUUUUGAAGGUCGUCUGAUAACAUUUUUGGAAUAACAUUAAUAUACUUUUCUCUUUUGUGUUUAUUGACUGGCUUACCCUUUACCCUUUUGCCAGAGACAUACUUACCUUUAGAUUUCUACAGCAUCAAUGCAAAAAAAGUUAAUAUUGAAAGUCUUCCAAUCAAAAGUAGGAUUUUUGUAGAAACAGUAGUUGCAAAACCUAGGCUUUGUUGAGAGAGAAAUAGGAUUUUCUAAAUUUCUUUAGCUCCCAUUGAACAUCUGAGAAACAAGGUUGUAGGUAAAACUCAGAUCACAGAGUCAUUUCCAUGCCUGCAAGCACUGGUUCUGUUUAAAAUGACUGGGCUGGGAAGGGAGGCAGAUGCUUUAGGGUAAAAGGAGAAUGAUAAAUUGUAGAGGCAGAAAGCCUGCCCAUUUCUGGUCCCAAAGGACCAUGAGAAGAAGAAGGGAGACAGAUGCUAGACAGACACAUCGAUCUUGAUUUUCUGUUUCUGGAAUGCCCAGAGGGAAGGGUGUGUUCAAUAAGUUAAAGUCCACACAGGGUUCUUUCCCCUCAUUUCAUAUUCAAGACUCUACAUGGAAACAUAGGCUCCCAGGUCCAUCUGGGAGCGGCCACAUCAUUGUAAACUCAGCAGUCAAGUGUGGUUAAGCAGUGGAAGGGCUAAAGUUUGGCUUUCCCAAGUUGCCCUCAGUUCCUGUGUGGUGUGGAAAGAAUUCAGGAUCUCCUGCAUGCCUCUGCAGGGGUGGGGCACAGAUGCUGGUUGAGUCUGGCUGGAGAACUUACCAGAGAGGAUGACUGUGGUGGGGGGCAAAAUGGUGCUGUGGCCAAGGACUGCAAAAAGAA